rnacentral:rRNA from 1 species
CCUACGGGUGGCAGCAGUGGGGAAUAUUGCGCAAUGGGCGAAAGCCUGACGCAGCGACGCCGCGUGAGGGAUGAAGGUCUUCGGAUCGUAAACCUCUGUCAGCAGGGAAGAACGGUCACGGUGCUAAUCAGCAGUGAAUGGACGGUACCGGCAAAGGAAGCACCGGCUAACGCCGUGCCAGCAGCCGCGGUACUACGGAGGGUGCGAGCGUUAAUCGGAUUUACUGGGCGUAAAGCGCUCGUAGGCGGGAUGUCAAGUCAAGGGUGAAAUCCCCGCGCUCAACGUGGGAACUGCCUUUGAAACUUGCAAACUUGAGUGUGUGAGAGGUUAGUGGAAUUCCAGGUGU